rnacentral:siRNA from 1 species
UCAGUGCCAAUUCCCAUAUGGGAA